UGCAGCUUUUGCUUUUUUGCUUUUGCUUUUUGCUUUGCUCUUUCUCUCUCUCUGGCUCUCGCUUCUGCUUUGCUUCUGCUUGCUUUUGCUUCUGCUCGUUAGCUAGCAUAGCUGAACAGUCCAAAUUUCUUCCUGGACUGUUUCUCCUCUCCUUUUUUUCAACCAUCCCGAACCUGCUCCCGUCUGGGACCCAGGAACACCGACAGUUUGCACCUUGUGGCUGCAGCAGCUGCCCCAGAGCCGGAGGGACUGAGAACAGAGCGACCACCCCUGAGAGAGACUUUCUGAAUUUGUCAUCUUUUUCAGAGUGGUGCCAUCCGGGCUCAGAGAGGGACAUACUGCUCCAGGUGUGGCCUCACUAGCUCUGAGCAGAGGGAAGGAUCACCUCCCACAGCCUGCUGGCAGUACCUCCCUAAUGCAGCUCAGAAUCUCACAAGCCAUCUUUGUGCAAUGGUACAUCACUGGCUCCCAUUCAGCUCUGCGUCUUCCACAGGAUCUUCUCUCCAGAGCUGCUUUCCAGGCUGCAUGGACUCCUCAGCCUCAACAGCUGGGGAGGCAAACAGCACCCAGCUGCCAUUUUCUCAACAAGCUCAUCCUUGUGAUCCAGCCUGCUCUGCUGAGAACAAGAACAAGCCUCUCCACAUGAGCUACAACGGGCAGUCCUAUGCACAGCUCACACAGUGCUCAUUAAUUUUCUAACAUAGCACAGA